rnacentral:rRNA from 1 species
CCUACGGGAGGCAGCAGUGAGGAAUAUUGGUCAAUGGGCGCAAGCCUGAACCAGCCAUGCCGCGUGCAGGAUGACGGUCCUAUGGAUUGUAAACUGCUUUUGUACGAGAAGAAACACUCCUAUGUAUAGGAGCUUGACGGUAUCGUAAGAAUAAGGAUCGGCUAACUCCGUGCCAGCAGCCGCGGUAAU